UGGGGAAUAUUGCACAAUGGGCGCAAGCCUGAUGCAGCCAUGCCGCGUGUAUGAAGAAGGCCUUCGGGUUGUAAAGUACUUUCAGCGGGGAGGAAGGGAGUAAAGUUAAUACCUUUGCUCAUUGACGUUACCCGCAGAAGAAGCACCGGCUAACUCCGUGCCAGCAGCCGCGGUAAUACGGAGGGUGCAAGCGUUAAUCGGAAUUACUGGGCGUAAAGCGCACGCAGGCGGUUUGUUAAGUCAGAUGUGAAAUCCCCGGGCUCAACCUGGGAACGGCAUCUGAUACUGGGAAGCUUGAGUCUCGUAGAGGGGGGUAGAAUUCCAGGUGUAGCGGUGAAAUGCGUAGAGAUCUGGAGGAAUACCGGUGGCGAAGGCGGCCCCCUGGACGAAGACUGACGCUCAGGUGCGAAAGCGUGGGGAGCAAACAGG
rnacentral:rRNA from 1 species